rfam:Candidate division WOR_3 bacterium SM23_60 WORSMTZ_59847, whole genome shotgun sequence.
AAUCCUGAAUGGAUGUUUGUUCUUUGAAAACUUAUUUGGCGGAACGAUGAAGGCCGUGGUAGGCUGCGUUAAGCGUCGGAUAGGUGCGAACAACCUUUGACCCGGCGAUUGCCGAAUGGGGAAACCCAUCCCGAAGAAAUUCGGGAUACCCUGCCUCUUCGAGACAGGGAGCUAACCAAGGGAAGUGACACAUCUCAGUACCUUGAGGAAUAGAUAUUCCGAAAGUAGCGGCGAGCGAAAUCGGAACAGCCCAAACCGAGCUGUAUGUUCAAGCGGACAAGCGUUGUACAGCCGGUGUAGUGGGGUUCAGUUGAGUCCAAUUUGCCAUGAGGAUUGUGGAGUUACAAAAUCUUACGGUAGUCGAAAUUUCCUGGAACGGAAUACCAUAGAUGGUGAUAGUCCAGUAGAUUAAACCGGUAAGAUCUCCAUUGACUGAAUUCCCAAGUACUACGAGACACGUGGAAUCUCGUAGGAAUCUGCCCAAACCACUGGGUAAGGCUAAAUACGACCAGGUGACCGAUAGUGAACCAGUACCGUGAGGGAAAGGUGAAAAG